rnacentral:rRNA from 1 species
UUGGGUUAGUCCGCAACGAGCGCACCCACGUUUUUAGUUGCCAGCAUUGAGUUGGGCACUCUAGAGAGACUGCCGGUGACAAACCGGAGGAAGGUGUGGAUGACGUCAAGUCAGCAUGCCCCUUACGUUCUGGGCUACACACGUACUACAAUGCUUCGGACAAAGGGCAGCGAGCGCGCGAGUGCAAGCCAAUCCCAUAAACCGAGGCUCAGUUCAGAUUGCAGGCUGCAACUCGCCUGCAUGAAGGCGGAAUCGCUAGUAAUCGCAGGUCAGCAUACUGCGGUGAAUACGUUCCCGGGCCUUGUACACACCGCCCGUCACACCAUGGGAGUUGGCCACGCCCGAAGUCGUUACUCCAACCGUUCGCGGAGGAGGAUGCCGAAGGCAGGGCUGAUGACUGGGGUGAAGUCGUAACAAGGUAACCA